rnacentral:rRNA from 1 species
AUGAAGCUGCUCGACAUGAGCGCCGCGAUAUGCAGCAGCGCGUCCUCGGCGACCUCCAUUGCCGUGGUGGUCUGGUUCCUCUGCACAAGUGUGGUGCUCGGCGCCGACCCGGGUUCAGAUUGGGAGGUUCUCCACCGAGGUCUUUAUGUUUGGAAUACCUUGUCCUUCCAAGGAAAGCUCUAUGCCACCACCCUGUCUUCACACGAGAUCCUGCAGCUAUACCCUCCUCCCAGACAGGAAUCCCUCGAGAAUUCUGUGGUGGUUGCUCAUGCUCCAUAUUUUGCUGAUCGCCUGCAUAGCGAUUUUCUACUCGUGGAGUCUGGUGGAAGAAUGCUGCUCGUCAUCCGGCACCCAGCUCCUGGUACAAAGGAGAUGGACUGGUCGGGGCUAGCAGUCUUCAGGCUCUAUGAAGUGCAUCUGAGCAGCCAGCGGUGUAAGAUUAUCCCGGUGAACACCUUAGUCGACCGCUCGCUGUUUCUCAGCGGUGACCGAUGCCUGUCUGUUUCGGCCAGGGACCUCCCAACCUUGAGCAGCAACUCCAUCUACUUCAAUCUACCAUGGGACCCCAUUGUGUUGCAUUCGCUGGGGACUGGUUUGUCCGAGCGCUUAGCUGAGUCCUGCAAAAUACAUGACGGGAAGGACAGGAUACGCCCAUCUGUGCGCCCCUUCACCAUUGCUGAUCAUCUCAUGACCUACUGCCAUACUCCUGAGUGGUCUAAAGGACUCAUGUUCCACGAGUACCAACACAUACCUGAAUCUUUCAAGGAACUGAUUAAGAACAUACGGGCACAGGAUGUGCAAGUGCGGAUUCCACGUAUUGGUUGA